rnacentral:lncRNA from 1 species
CCGGGGACCGGCCUCCGCCGCGGGCUCUGCCCGCUCGCCUGCUCGCCUGGUGGGGGAGAGGGGAGCGGGGCCGACACAGGACUGCAGUUGACAGCAGAUAACUGAAAGCUCGGAAAGCGAAACCGUGGAUAAGCAGGGGAACUGUGGCAUCCCAUUUAAAAUUGCUUCUGAAGAGAAGCAUGAGGUUACAUCUGUAAUCUCCCUGCAGCAGAGUCAACUGCAUAAGAAACCAAAAGACACACCUGCUCCAUGCCAGGUCUGUUCUGAAAAAUUGAGAAGAUGAUCUAUCUUCACUUCAAAAAGAAAUCUCUAAGGAGCAAGUGGACACAGCCUGCCUCCCAUAAGCUGUCUGGCUCACUCAUUUUAUUCCUGGAAAUCAGGUGAGUUUUUUAGAAUGACUGUCCAAUAGAAGGAAAAAAGUAAGCUAGGGAGGUCAGUAGCUACUGCUCAUUGCAGCAGGCCAAGGGUGGUUUGCUGACAAUGUCCAUGACAUGUAGUUAGACUCUAGUAUCAAACAGGGAGCUUGGCCUUCUCCAUGCCUAAGUCAGCAGGUAGGAAGGUUCAGGUCUACAGCACACACACGAUGUACCCAAGAAGAGUGAUUAAUUUACAAACUGACA